rnacentral:rRNA from 1 species
UGCGCAGGUGGCGAUGUAAGUCAGUGGUGAAAGGCUGCCGCUUAACGGUAGGAUUGCCAUUGAUACUGCAUUGCUUGAGUAUGGUUGAGGUAGGCGGAAUGUGUGGUGUAGCGGUGAAAUGCAUAGAUAUCACACAGAACACCGAUUGCGAAGGCAGCUUACUAAGCCAUUACUGACGCUGAGGCACGAAAGCGUGGGUAGCGAACAGGAUUAGAUACCCUGGUAGUCC